rnacentral:RNase_P_RNA from 1 species
UGUUUACUCGAGGAAAGUCCGGACUCCACAGAGCACGGUGGUCACUAACGGUGACCCAGGGUGACCUGCGGGACAGUGCCACAGAAAACAAACCGCCCACGGUGGAAACACUAGUGGGUAAGGGUGAAAAGGUGCGGUAAGAGCGCACCAGCACCUCAGGUGACUGAGGUGGCUAGGUAAACCCCACCGGGAGCAAGGCUAAAGGGCGCACCACCACGGUGUGCCUGCAUGGAUCAGGCUGCUCGUCUACCGUAUCCAUGGGUGAGCCGCUCGAGGCCGCAUGCCGGCCCUAGAUGGAUGUUCGCCACCGUCAGCACUACGUAUGCAGACGGGAACAAAAUCCGGCUUAUCGGCUAACUCA